rnacentral:lncRNA from 1 species
GGAGCUUGACAGUUGCUGAGAUGCGACAGCCAGCAAUGUGGGAACUUUGUUCAUGAUCUUCAACAUCAACUUCAUUGAACUGGUCAUGUUGUUUGGAUGCCUGAUUAUUGUCUCCCAAAACAACUACUCUACUCCCAAAAAGCAACAACAAAAGAGGUUUAAAGACGCUCUCAAAGCAAAUCUGAAAAAAUGUAGUAUAAGCACUGAUAACUGGGAAACACUGGCCUGAGAGUGCUCCAACUGGAGAACAGCCUUUACCAAAGGUGUCAUGGACUUUGAAGAAGCACAAACUCAGGGCAAAAAGGAGAAACAAGCCAAGAGGAAGGCAUGUCUGGAAAACCCUCACUGUGAUCAACUCCCUCCCAGAAACCUAUGUCCCCACUGUGGAAGGAUGGGUGGAUUCAAAUUGGCCCCCACAGUCACUUACGGACUCACUGUUAAGACCAUUUUCAUGGAAGACAGUCUUACUCAGCUACAAGUGAUGGCCAGAGAAGGAGAAGGAGAAGGAGGAGAAGGAGGAGGAGAAGGAGAAGGAGAAGGAAGAAGGAGAAGGAAGAAGGAGAAGGAGAAGGAGAAGGAGAAGGAGAAGGAGAAGGAGAAGAACAUGUCAAAAUCAAAGCUCACAACUAUCUGGAUCACCUCUCAGUUUGAACAUUUUUCUACUUCGUGGCAAAUCACAACCUGCAUGCACAUCAGUGCUGUGACAGAGUUUAGUGGUGUCACCAUUAUCACCACAAUAGUUAGGCAAUAAGGCAAAUGUUUGUACUGUACUUCACAAGGGAAAACAUAUAAUAUUUCCCUAUCUUGAUAUAUUUUCCAGUGAAUCAAGUGACCCUUCUCUUUUACACAAAGCCAAUUUGGAUAUUGUCCAAGAAACCAGCUGGGUGCCUGGUUAGGAUUUCUUGAAUGCUUCGCUGGAAAUCACAGGAAAAGAAAACAGCACCAUCUAUAGCUUCCUUGGUGUACCAGGCAGACCUACAAUGGAAAACUGUGCUCACAGGCAUUGCGCCACUUUGAAGCAACAUUCAAGAGAGCUAAUAAUAAUUUAACCUUAAUCACUGCUAUAGGAGAAUCAUAGGCAAUUAUAUCAAAAUUAUUAGUUCUACUCAGUUAUUACCUUCAAUGGUGAAUGGAAACAUCAAACAGGAAAAUCUGUGCAUGCAAAACAGAGAAAAAAUUGAGGGGAGCCUUUACUUUAUAAUUCUCCUGCCCCUUCUUUUGCAAAAAUGGCAUUAAGCUAUUUCACAUUCAUUUUGCUCUUUCUAGAUUAAUCCUUGGAAGAUGGAAGAUGAUCUUUCUUUGCCUCACCAGUUUGUUGUCAUUCCCCUCUAAGAUCCUGGCAAAAGUGAGAUGUUCUUCUCUUACCCCGCACCCUGCCAUUUGAAUGAAGGGAAAAAUUAACAGGGAUCCCACCCACCCCCAUUUAAAUAUGUUUUCAUUCAGUUCAGUGACAGAAGAACAGAAUGCCUGAGACUCUUGAGUUACAGGAUGUCUUGUUACUGUCAAAAACACAAUUGCCAACAGUUUCUGCUCAGAUACCAAAAAUUGAAGGCUCAGAUAAUAUGCUGUUUUGAACCUGCUUUCAUAAGCUACUUAAGAAUGGCUCCAAAGGACUAAGGCGGAAUACAUUGGAAAAGGAUAGAAUUAUCCUAGAAUUCUGCAAUAUCCUAAAUAGUGUUUUCUGAGACACUGAAAGAAUAGGAUGAAUGUUAUGCCAGAUUUUUUUUGCAAAUGUGAAUUCUAAUUUGCAUUAUUUGUUCUCCACAAUUAAAAGUGAGGUAACGGUUUAGCAGAUGGAACAUUUUCAUUUGGCAUGUUCUCCUUGCUGUGCCAGUAACUCAUACCAAGACAUUUGUUUGUAUCUUUUAAUGCAUGGGUUUCCAUUGUGCAGAAAGGUACUAAAUAUACAUGUCAGAGAUUUUUUUUUAAUUAAAAAAGGAUGCUAUAAAGAGAAAACUAUAACAUUAUACAAAAGAGAAUAUGCAGUCAUAUUACAGGACAAAUGGUCAGAUCUCCUAUACAUCAUCAUGCUAAUGCAGAUAUCUCUCUCUCUCUUUUUCAGGUUCUCUCUUUAUCAGAGUUCAAAGAUCAAUGUCACCUGAGGGGGGUAAAAAGGAUACCAGCUAUGAAUGUGAAAUCACCUAUGAAAAGAUUUCUAGCCUGCCAAAUCUUGAGUUUUGG